GGACGGCACGCGCAGCCCCGUCCAGAAUGGCGACCACAAGUUCCAGCCGUUCUCGCGGGUCGACAUCGAGGUCACCGGCGAGCAGGAGCACACGUGCUCACUCCAGGUACGGCGGGGCAGUGAGCCGGCCCUGAACCAGAUCUGCCCGCUGCCCCAGUUCCCGCCGCCGGCCAGCCGCGGCGACGCCAGCAAGCGAUGGUCGGCCGCGCCGAUCAUCGACGACGACGUGCAGGCUAGCUCCACCCCGCUCAAGACGGCCAGCUGCGACCCGCUGACGCCGCCCGGCGAGCGCGGCGAGCCGUCCGGCGACGAGCGCGACCGGCUGACGCUGCCCAGGCU